AAUUCAAUUCAGGAAUGCAAACGGGGUCUUAUUAGUAGGAUAAGAAGUGUGAUAGAGACAGUCUAAUCGAACUAUCGAAGGCGACGAAGGGUAUCAAUGCCCUACUCGGGCCGUACCGGUGCAAUUUGAUUACUGCAACUGGAAGCCCUACGCGCGGGCCUGCCCACCCUCACCCGUGAACCCGUUGCCGUGAGGGACACCUGUCGGCGCCUUGAGAGAUCCGCCUCGCCAUCGUCCUCAAUCCGACGGGGACGAGCGCACGUCCCCGUCGCUCAUCCUCUCCCGUGCCAUCAUCGCCUUUGUGUUCGUGUUCGGGGCUUCGGGCCGCCCGUCGCUAUAGCGCCCGCCGCCCGGACCGGGGAACACCACGCUCCACGCACACAGAAGCCGUACAGGAAAAUCCGGAUUUCCGGCUUCUGCAUCGCGUGUGCGCCACGACGGCGUGCAGGUGCGGCGGCGGUAGGCAAGCCGGCCGUGGGCGGAUCGGAUGCGUGCUGCACUGCUGCUGCUGCCGCCGCCGCCCGCUGUCGGACGUGGGGGCAGGGGGGCGACGUGGCCCAAGCUGGAACACUCCUCGCCGCGUUUUUUUAGUCCCGGAAAGCCCUAGAUAUUUUUGGCUCCCCAGGCCGACGCCUUUCCGCAGUCCCUGCUCUCUACAUAGGGAAGGCCCGCCCCGCAACCUCCCGGGCGCACCAACAGUUCAACACCACAUCGAGCCGAGCCGGGAGAAUGGGAAUCCAGCUCAGAUUUCGCUUGUCUCCCUCCGCCGUGGUGAGCCCCCCGCGGGCGACGUGUGUCCCGUUGCCUUUCCUUCGCUUCGACGGCCAGGCCACCUGUUGGCCUCGCAUGGCUCUGCGUCCUGCCAAGCAUCCAAGCUCCCUCUCGCCCGGCGGCCCAGCGCCGCGGCGUCUAUAUAGAGCCAGAUCCGCGCGAUCCCCGCCAAUCGGCAAUCGCUGCACCCUGCCUCAACUUCUCUAGCUCACCCGCAUCCCUGCUCGGCACUGCCUUGUGCCUUCUCCUCGCACUUCCCUUCUUCUUGUAUCUAGCCCCCCUUCAUCACAAUCACCGGCAGCGGCGCGCCGUCGUCUCAGAUUGAUGCAAGGGGCGGUGACGAGCUAGAGGCAGCAACUGCAUAUCUUGCAAGAAAAUUAUGUUUGACGCCACUUCAUCCAACUUGCUUUGAUUCUAUGGCUAACAUCGUCAUCAAUAUCCUCAUCUCUGCAACAUUGAUCCUAAAUAACGAAAGGUAUUCUUCUUAGGCACUACUUGACCUUGAAAACUAAAAUCUCUUUUCUCAUGUGUAUGAGUGCUGAAGUCACAUCUCAUAUAUUCGGUUUUAAAUCUAUUAAGUCUAAAACCUUUUGAACUCUAUAGUCUCAUGUGUGGUGGGAAAAGGUCUCUAAAAGGGUGCAUAGGUGCAAGAGGAGGGGUUUCAAUAGUGUCAUUAUCCUUGGAGCUUGGUGCUUGUGGCUCUCUCGUAAUAGGGCUGUUUUUGAUGGAGUGAGCCCUUCCAUUAGUUUGACUAAGAGGUUGUUUCUAGAUGAAUUGAUCAGUUGGAGUAAGGCGGGAGCGAAGCAUUUAGACAGUUUGAGAAUUAUUGUCACUUUAAAUAGGGUCUAGUAGGGCCCGUCAGGCUCCCCCCUUGUAGGGGAGGCUUGAGGGUUUGGUCUUGGUGUUGUAUUUCGGUCCACUUUGGACCUUUCCUCUCUUAAUAUAAUGAUGCGCAGCUCUCCUGCGCGUUCGAGAAAAAAAAUAGUCUUAUGUCACAACUCUAGUUUCCUAUUCACUCUUGCCAAACUUUCAUCAAUUAGUUCUACAUCGUCCGCAAAAAGCAUAUACCAUGUGAUAUCAUCUUAUAUGUUCCUUGUGACCUUUUCUUUCGGGUUUCAUCUUUAUUAGAAUGGCUAGGUUUAACGUGGCUUGGGCCUAUCACAUUCCUUGUCCUUUAACAGGGUGUGAGACCUGCUAUGUUAAGACAACAUAGGUGGACUAAUCUUUUACAGUAACAGAAGCAGGAAGAUGAAAAUAAGAAAAAUCCCAGACAAGCAACCUUGUGACAGGUCAAGUCAACCACUAAUUAGCCUGCCUUAGGCAACUAGAGCGCGACACGGGCGGCGCCCCGCUCCCCUUGCUGCCGUCGCCCGCAAAUCCUCUCUCCCCUUCCCUUGCCGCCGCCGGAGGUCGGCUCGGCCCCUAGGAUGGCGACGGCGGGGUGUUUCGCGCGGAUCUGGUGGGAGUUAGCGUAGCACAUCGGCGGUGGAGCGCGCGCGGCACGGUACCUAUGGGUGGUCGUGGCCGUGCUGGGGCGCGCCGUGGCGCGCGCCGCGGAGCUCGUCGGGCGGCGGCUGAGGCCCAGGCGGCCUGGUGUGGCGGGGCGUCGCUGUGAGGACGUCGUGGCCUGCCUCCGCGCCUCGCUUGAGGAUCUGCUCCGGUCGCCGCUGCCGUGCACUGUCGGUGGGGGCUAGGGCGACGCCAAGCUGUGCUUCUUCGAGGCGGAGGUUGUCGACGUGUGCGUCAGCGGGCAGAUCUAUGCGGGGGUCGGCGCACGGCGACAUGGGCGACUCAGCGUAGCCGGUGCACUGGCUGCGGCGAGGAAGACCACUAGGUGGUGACUGCGGUGGAGCUCUGGCGGUGCGGUCGCAGCGCUGCUGCUGCCUGCUCGGGCUUCAGUGUGGUCUGGCAUGGGCCGGUGGCCUUGCGGCCGUGGUGGCAGUGGCGGUGCACGCGCGCUCGCGUGGCUGGCCAGCGGCGUCGGCACCCACGCGUGCGGCUGGCCCACUGUGGCGGCGGCGUGGCUUGCCUGUGCUUGCCUAGGUCGGGGGCGUUGGCCGUCGCCAGAUCUGCAGCUGUCAGCGGCGCCUUCUGCAGGGGCGGCUUGCUUCGUGUGUUGGGGCGUGUGGUGGGAGGGCCUCUGGCGAAAGCCAUGCCCGCUUGCGGGCGGACAGCGGUGACGCCCGCGGGCGCCACCCCUACCCUAUUGAGGGUGCCGUCUUUGGACCUCUCGCCACCAUGUGGCAACCCUCGCCUCAGCCUUCUUGGGGUCUCCCGCUGGUGCUCGUCCGACGUUGGGGCUCUGAGGGUUGGGGCUGCUGGGUUGGUGCGUCGACGGACGACAGUAGGUCUUCGGAGGAAACUUUGCUUGGUUGGUACCAGGCGGGCGGCGACGACUUUUCGACGUCGUUUCUCCUUCUUGAAGGCGCGGCCCAGAAGACCUCUAGUUUGUGUGUUCGUUGGCGUUGUGAAGGCUCUUUGUCACUCCGCUUGGCUCGGUGGUGUCGAGGCCAUUGUCGCUUUAGGCGGCUGCUUGCCCCCGGAGUUCGGCGUUGUGGAUCUUUGCUCAUGGUGAAGAAUCGGAGCUGCCUCGUGUGGAGUGUGCGAGGCUUGGCAACGAUGGAGCGCCGUGAUCUUAUUCCUUGCGUCGGUGUCUGGAUUUAGGCGUCGUCGAGUUGCUUUGCCAGUGUGCGGCUCGUCUUGGGAAGUCGGAGCUGCUCGUCCCUUGUGUUUGAGCUUGGCAACGAUGACUCUAGAUGUGUUUGUGUGUGUGAGGCUGUCGUUGUCUAGGUGGUUUGUUAGGGCCUUCGCCGGUUUUUCUACCGUGCGUCCUGUGUAGGUUUUGGGUCCGGUUUUCCUUAAAACUGGAUCAAUUCUAUUCUUCUUAAUUGAGAGGCAGAGCUCCUGCCAUUAUGUUCAAAAAAAAA